GGGUGCUUAAGCAUAGUGGUCAGCACGUUCACCUCACACCUCCAGGGUCCGGGGUUCGAUUCCCUCCAGGGUCCG